CCUGGUGGUUAUGGCGGGGUGGCUGCACCCGAUCCCAUUCCGAACUCGGCCGUGAAACACCCCAGCGCCGAUGGUACUUCGUCUUAAGACGCGGGAGAGUAGGUCGCUGCCAGGU
rnacentral:rRNA from 1 species